GAUGAACGCUGGCGGCGUGCCUAAUACAUGCAAGUCGAGCGAAUGGAUUAAGAGCUUGCUCUUAUGAAGUUAGCGGCGGACGGGUGAGUAACACGUGGGUAACCUGCCCAUAAGACUGGGAUAACUACGGGAAACCGGGGCUAAUACCGGAUAACAUUUUGAACCGCAUGGUUCGAAAUGGAAAGGCGGCUUCGGUGGGCACUUAUGUAUGGAUCCGGGUCGAAUUAGCUAGUUGGUGAGGUAACGGCUCACCAAGGCAACGAUGCGUAGCCGACCUGAGAGGGUGAUCGGCCACACUGGGACUGAGACACGGCCCAGACUCCUACGGGAGGCAGCAGUAGGGAAUCUUCCGCAAUGGACGAAAGUCUGACGGAGCAACGCCGCGUGAGUGAUGAAGGCUUUCGGGUCGUAAAACUCUGUUGUUAUGGAAGAACAAGUGCUAGUUGAAUAAGCUGGCACCUUGACGGUACCUAACCAGAAAGCCACGGCUAACUACGUGCCAGCCGCCGCCGUAA
rnacentral:rRNA from 1 species